AUGUAAUGUAAUGCCUACAACGUUAAUGCACCGGAUUUUAUUAGAACUUUGUAGUUAAGCGUGCUUGGGCUAGAGUAGUAUUGGGAUGGGUGACCUCCUGGGAAGUCUUAGAUUUUUACAUG
rfam:Picea glauca, whole genome shotgun sequence.